UUUACUUGGCACCUGGCAUGAUGGCUGCAGAUGGAAGUAGCCUGUUUCCAAGGGGUAAGAUGAUCUUAGCCGAGGACCUGGUGGGACUCAUUGAAAGAUCUUUAAACUAGUAACUCUUCUGGAACUGGAGCAAGACCAGAGAGAGACUCCAGCAAAGGACUCUGGACAGGAAAAAUGCAACAGAAAGUCCCAGAGAAUGAACUAAAUCCUUUGUUUUUGGAGCAACAAGUAAAAGAUGGCAGCAGAAGGGCAGUCUGACAAAAUGGCAUCUGACAUGGAAGUGUGUAUGAAGCAAAGGUAUGUCACUGAAUUUCUCCAUGUUGAAAAAAUGCUACCCAUUGACAUUUAUCAAUGCCUGGAGAACAUUUAUGGAGACCAAACAGUGAAUGUGAGCACAGUGAGGUGGUGAGUGGUGCAUUUCAGUACCAGCAACAGCUGGUCACUUCUGCUAGGUUUAAUGUGUGAGGCAUGGAGGCUUUCAUGACAAGCAAAGGGCUUUUGCAGACAAAAAUGCAGAGCUAAUGAUGGCGACUACCAUCACUGCUGAAGAAUAGAUUUUUGUAUCUGAGAAUUUGCUCUAUCAAAGUAUUACUGUGCUCAUUGUAGCUGUUGUAGUUUCUAUGGAAAUAAAGAGGAGGCAUUACUUUUGGAGUGACCAACAUAUAAGCACCCCAAAACAAUUCUUCUUCGCUCUGCGUGGCCAGGCAAGCCAAAAUAUUGGACACUUAUGGCCUCAAUCAUUUCAGUUUCUCACAUGAGUGUUAUAUUUGCAAUUUCAAUCCUGACAAUUUUGAAUGAAAGGUUGAAAACAGGAGCCACUUGUAUGACAUUUGCCAUAUUCCCAUCUACAAAGAGCCCUAAACAAUUGCACAAAAGGCCUUGUAUCACAUGGAUCUUAGUUGGAAGUCUCACACGAUCUCCACCAACAUUUUCACAGCAGAAGCCUUUGGCAGGGUCCUCCCUGAUGACAGUAGAGAAGACCUGGCUAGACAUUGUCUAUCCAAAAUAGAAAUAUCUCAGGAACACAGAGAAGUAAAAUGUCUCACCUUUGUGUAUUAGAAAUCCACAGAAGUCCUCUUACCAUCCUUCUCUUCCUUCAGUGAUAUCACAAGAGUAAAAAUCUAGAUGUUAAAGAAGAUAGAAAAUGAUCCAAGGCUGCUGGGAACUUGAUCUUGCAGAAAGCCUUCUCGGGUAAAAGAAAUGGCCACAACAGAACAGGAUGGGCUACACAGCUUGGAAAGCUUUAGUACAUCCUCUACUUCAAAUGGCCUAAAUGCCUAUAAAUUACCACACACAAAGCCUGUGGCCAUUAUUUAGACCCUCUUCAAGUAAAGCUGUCCUUGACUUGAAGGAGGAAGUGUUCUGUUGUGAAUGGAAGGUAUCUAAGAGAAUAUUCACCCUUGGUUUGUUAUGAUCACAUCAGACACUAACUUGGCAAAUAUGUUCAGCUAGUUUUCGCAAUAGAAAAGUACAGCCAAGAUCCAUGUUGGCUUAAGAAAUCAGUAUGUUCACAUAAAAUAAGAGCUGACCUAAA